rnacentral:lncRNA from 1 species
AAAAAAGCACUGCCAGCAGCCUUCUCAAUCCCGGAGUUUCCCCAAAGAUAAGAGAGCAGCAGACUGGGCUCAGCGAUUGAGGUUUUGACCUGAAAGUUUAUUGCUACUUAUCUCCCGGUGAGUUUUUACUUGGGAGAGUUCUUGAAGAUAACCUCUUAGCGUAAGUGAGGCUUGCAAUCCAGGGGAGGCGAUACAUUGUUACAGCACUCUCUUCCAGAAACUGAACUGUUGGUGAGGCCCUAGAUCUAUCUCUGUGUUAGCUUUCUCCUUGAUGUGUUUGUUACCUGAGCUCUGUGCUGUUCUAACGCAUAAGGGAUUCCAGGGAAUUCAAGAUAGGCUAGCAAAGGAAGAGCAUGCAAGCACUGACUCGUAAGUUAGGGCUGUGCAUGAAGCUCAGGCUUCCUCUGUUGGGCCAUUCAGUUGCAUUUCCUAGAUGGGCAUGGAAUGAACAGUUCCCCGAGCUAGCCGUCCAUUGCGAGAUUUAUCACUUUAAAAAAAAAAAAAAAGAUUUAUUUCUUUAAUGUAAGUACACUGUAGCUGUCUUCAGACACACCAUAAGAGGGCGUCAGAUCUCAUUACGGAUGGUUGUGAGCCACCAUGUGGUUGCUGGAAAUUGAACUCAGGGCCUUCGGAAGAGCAGUCAGUGCUCUUAACCUCGGAGCCAGCUCUCCCCAGAUUUAUCACAUUCUUACUCCAUCCCAACAAGUGUACUAAAAGCUAUAACCACCCACCUGAUGACCUCUGAGUUUCAAGAGACCCUUGAAUAGAGAUAUCAGUGUAAGGAAUGUUUGGGCUGCUCGGUGCUAAACCAAGUGCAUUGGCAGAGCUCUUAGUACUUAAGGUCCUAGUUCCUGAGUGGGGGGAAAAGUUCCUGGGGUGGGGGUGCAGAGGGAGUUAUGUGCCCUAGAGAGGACGGUGAGAGAAGUGGUGUCCUAGUCUCUGUGGACUGCUUUAGAAACAAAGUCCUCUAAAGGGAGUGACUUAUUCAUGUGAGCAACAGAAAUGGGUUUCUUUGAGUUCUGAGAAAACGCAGGCAGGUUCCCUAUCUGGAAAUGCCCCCCUCCCGUUUACAUCUUUGUGUGCGUGGUGUCUGCAUGUAUCUGUUCGUGCAUGCAUUCAUAUGAGUGAGCGUGGGCGAGCACAUGCCACGGGAGACUUGGGGAGUACAGAGGGCAGCCUGGAGACUCAGUCCUCACCAUCCACUUUGUCUGAAAGUUUUUAGUCGUUUGCUAAAGCAUGCACCAGAGAGCUUGUGGGGAUUCCCCUGUCUCUGCCUCCCAUCUCAUAGAACACUAGGAUUACAGGCUCUUGCUGCCUCCCCCAUCUUCACAUGGGUUCUGGGGGUCUGAACUCGGGUCCUCCAUGCUUGUGCAGCAGGCCCUUCACCCACUGAACCACCUCCACCCCCAAAUGACUUUCUUAUAUCUUCUUGUAUCCUCAUGUGCUGAGCGCUCUGUUGUAAGGGAUCCCAUUCAUGGGGACGGAGUCAAAAACCCUCCUGGUAAUACCAUCACCUUGGGGGUUAAAAUUUCCACCCAUGGGGGACACAUACAUUCAAACCAUUGUCAGCAAAAGGUAAGCAUCAGACAGCUGCUACUGCCUUAGCUAAUGGACAUAUACAGUACGGGCCCUUUGUUGUGACCCGAUUUCUCUGUGGCCCUGGAACCAUACCCAGGAAGGGCAGCGUGUGCAUAUAUCAGUGUCUGUCUCUGCUGUGAUGAGCGGUCAGGAACUGAAACGAGGAGAGGAGCUACCAGACCUUAUAUUCCCUCAUCUUCCUGGUGUCUGAACCUGGCUUCCCCCGGGUGCCUUUCUAACCAAAUGGAGCUGUGCCUCUCUUUUGCACUUCUCACUGAAGUGGUGGGAGGAUCCAGUAGUCAUUUUCAUUUGGGGAAUCAACCUUGUUUCUAUGACACCCGCAGACCCAGGGUCUGGCCUGUCUCCCCUGCAGAUCUGACAGCUUGAGGACUGAUAAGAAUCCAGGUUCUGACACUUGCAAUCAGAGAUACAGGAAAUCGAUCCAUGGCAGACAGCUAAUCAGUAAUUUACCAUGGGGAAUGAACCUUUCCAAUAAGCAAUACAUUUGUUAUUCCAAAUCUUCUGCCCAAGUACCUGUCCCCGUGCAUAGGGAUCAGAAUUAGUGGUAGUCACAGCAUCCCCAUUUCUGCAGUGUCAGAGUUCCUGCCUCUCACCUUGCUUCCCUCUGUUCACUGCUGACCUUCUAUCUGGCACGACUGCAUGAUGUGGACUUCUUCACACCAUGCACCUUACAAUAGAGCAAGGGAAAACUUUCAGAAAGCCUUUCAGCCUGCAGCUGGGCUUGUCAUGAAACACACAUCAGCAAGAUCUCAUGGUGCCUCUUCAGAGACUUGUCUGAGUCAGACCUUUCUGCCAAAAGUGCAAGCUGGGCGCUGGCAUGAAAAAUCUAGAGUUUUCUGGAUGGCAGAGAUGGCUCGGUGAUUAAGAAUGUACACUGUGUUUGCAGAGGACCCGAGUUCAGUUCCCAGCAGCCACACUUGGUGACUCACAACUAUCUGUACACCAGCUUCAGAGAAAUCCAGUACGCUCUGCUGGCCUCUGAGGACACCUGCACGCCUGUGCACAUACCAUAGACAUGCACACAUAUGCAUAAUUAAAGACAAGGCUUUUAAAAAUAUGUCCUUCCAUCUUUGACCACAGUU